rnacentral:rRNA from 1 species
UGACCUCGGAUCAGGUAGGAAACAGGGCU